UACGAAGGGUGCAAGCGUUAAUCGGAAUUACUGGGCGUAAAGGGUGCGUAGGCGGUUCGUUAAGUCUGUUGUGAAAUCCCCGGGCUCAACCUGGGAAUGGCAAUGGAUACUGGCGAGCUAGAGUGUGUCAGAGGAUGGUGGAAUUCCCGGUGUAGCGGUGAAAUGCGUAGAGAUCGGGAGGAACAUCAGUGGCGGAGGCGGCCAUCUGGGACAACACUGACGCUGAAGCACGAAAGCGUGGGGAGCAAACAGG
rnacentral:rRNA from 1 species